AUGGCGCAACCUAAUGUCAAGCUUCUAUGCUGGAAUGUGCGUGGCCUUAAUGCCCCUGCCCGUCGCGACGCCGUGCGGGACCUUGUCCGAGACUGCAACGCCGCUAUUGUGUGCCUCCAGGAGACUAAGCUCGAACACGUCAACGAUAUUCUGAUCGCAAGCAUGAUUGGUCCCUCUUUUACUGCAAACUACCAGGUCCUCCCGGCCGUUGUUUCAUGUGGCCAUGAUAAUGGCCGUCUCUGA
rnacentral:rRNA from 1 species